UACGUAGGGUGCGAGCGUUAAUCGGAAUUACUGGGCGUAAAGCGCACGUAGGCGGAUUGGAAAGUUGGGGGUGAAAUCCCGGGGCUCAACCCCGGAACUGCCUUCAAACUCCCAGUCUGGAGGUCGAGAGAGGUGAGUGGAAUUCCGAGUGUAGAGGUGAAAUUCGUAGAUAUUCGGAGGAACACCAGUGGCGAAGGCGGCUCACUGGCUCGAUACUGACGCUGAGGUGCGAAAGCGUGGGGAGCAA
rnacentral:rRNA from 1 species